rnacentral:rRNA from 1 species
GGCGAACGGGUGAGUAACACGUGAGUAACCUGCCCUUGACUCUGGGAUAAGCCUGGGAAACUGGGUCUAAUACCGGAUAUGACUUCUCAUCGCAUGGUGGGGGGUGGAAAGCUUUUGUGGUUUUGGAUGGACUCGCGGCCUAUCAGCUUGUUGGUGGGGUAAUGGCCUACCAAGGCGACGACGGGUAGCCGGCCUGAGAGGGUGACCGGCCACACUGGGACUGAGACACGGCCCAGACUCCUACGGGAGGCAGCAGUGGGGAAUAUUGCACAAUGGGCGCAAGCCUGAUGCAGCGACGCCGCGUGAGGGAUGACGGCCUUCGGGUUGUAAACCUCUUUCAGUAGGGAAGAAGCCCUCUUUUGGGGGUGACGGUACUUGCAGAAGAAGCGCCGGCUAACUACGUGCCAGCAGCCGCGGUAAUACGUAGGGCGCAAGCGUUAUCCGGAAUUAUUGGGCGUAAAGAGCUCGUAGGCGGUUUGUCGCGUCUGCUGUGAAAGACCGGGGCUCAACUCCGGUUCUGC